rnacentral:rRNA from 1 species
GUUGGUGGGGUAAAGGCCUACCAAGACUAUGAUGUGUAGCCGGGCUGAGAGGUUGAACGGCCACAUUGGGACUGAGACACGGCCCAAACUCCUACGGGAGGCAGCAGUAGGGAAUUUUCGGCAAUGGAGGAAACUCUGACCGAGCAACGCCGCGUGAACGAUGAAGUAUUUCGGUACGUAAAGUUCUUUUAUUAGGGAAGAAUAAAUGAUGGAAAAAUCAUUCUGACGGUACCUAAUGAAUAAGCCCCGGCUAACUAUGUGCCAGCAGCCGCGGUAAUACAUAGGGGGCAAGCGUUAUCCGGAAUUAUUGGGCGUAAAGGGUGCGUAGGCGGUUAAAUAAGUUUAUGGUCUAAGUGCAAUGCUCAACAUUGUGAUGCUAUAAAAACUGUUUAGCUAGAGUAAGAUAGAGGCAAGUGGAAUUCCAUGUGUAGUGGUAAAAUGCGUAAAUAUAUGGAGGAACACCAGUAGCGAAGGCGGCUUGCUGGGUCUUUACUGACGCUGAGGCACGAAAGCGUGGGGAGCAAACAGGAUUAGAUACCCUGGUAGUCCACGCCGUAAACGAUGAGUACUAAACGUUGGGUAAAACCAGUGUUGAAGUUAACACAUUAAGUACUCCGCCUGAGUAGUACGUACGCAAGUAUGAAACUUAAAGGAAUUGACGGGACUCCGCACAAGCGGUGGAUCAUGUUGUUUAAUUCGAAGGUACCCGAAAAACCUUACCAGGUCUUGACAUGCUUCUGCAAAGCUGUAGAAACACAGUGGAGGUUAUCGGUUGCACAGGUGGUGCAUGGUUGUCGUCAGCUCGUGUCGUGAGAUGUUGGGUUAAGUCCCGCAACGAGCGCAACCCUUAUUGUUAGUUACCAGCACGUAAUGGUGGGGACUUUAGCAAGACUGCCAGUGAUAAAUUGGAGGAAGGUGGGGACGACGUCAAAUCAUCAUGCCCCUUAUGACCUGGGCUACAAACGUGAUACAAUGGCUGUACAAAGGGUAGCUGAAGCGCAAGUUU